rnacentral:rRNA from 1 species
GACGAACGCUGGCGGCGUGCUUAACACAUGCAAGUCGAACGGAAAGGCCCUGCUUUUGUGGGGUGCUCGAGUGGCGAACGCGUGAGUAACACGUGAGUAACCUGUCCUUGACUUUGGGAUAACUUCAGGAAACUGGGGCUCAUACCGGAUAGGAGCUCCUGCUGCAUGGUGGGGGUUGGAAAGUUUCGGCGGUUGGGGAUGGACUCGCGGCUUAUCAGCUUGGUGGUGGGGUAGUGGCUUACCAAGGCUUUGACGGGUGGCCGGGCUGAGAGGGUGACCGGCCACAUUGGGACGGAGAUACGGCCCAGACUCGUACGGGAGGCAGGAGUGGGGAAGAGAGCACAGUGGGCGGAAGCCUGAUGCAGCGACGCCGCGUGCGGGAAAACGGCAUUCGGGUUGUAAACCGAUUUCGUCUGUGACGAAGCGUGAGUGACGGUAAUGGGUAAAGAAGCACCGGCUAACUACGUG